GCCAGUGAUAGUCAGCUAUCCAGGACAUUACCAUUCCUGUGAUGGCGUUACACCACUGGCAGAGUAAUGGAUUGUCCUCUUGAUCUGGUUGCCACCUUCACUGUUCUAGUGAUUCCUGGUAUCAGGACAGAGAGAGACUAUGCUUCCUUGAGAGUGGGCUGAGCAGCCAUUUUGACUCUUCAGUGUUAGUGUGGGAGCAGACAUA